rnacentral:rRNA from 1 species
UACGUAGGGUCCGAGCGUUGUCCGGAUUUAUUGGGCGUAAAGAGCUCGUAGGCGGUUUCGUAAGUCGGAUGUGAAAACUCAGGGCUCAACCCGGAGACGCCAUCCGAUACUGCGAUGACUGGAGUCUGGUAGGGGAUCACGGAAUACCUGGUGUAGCGGUGAAAUGCGCAGAUAUCAGGUGGAACACCGAUGGCGAAGGCAGUUCGUCUGGGCCGUAACUGACGCU